GUUCAUUUUAACAGCUUAAAGGACCACUAUAGUCACCUAGACCACUUCAGCUUAAUGAAGUGGUCUGAGUGCCAGGUCCCCCAGGUUUUAACCCUGCAGCUGUAAACAUAGCAGUUUCAGAGAAACUGCUAUGUUUACAUUGCAGGGUUAAUCCAGCCUCUAGUGACUGUCUUCCUGACAGCCGCUAGAGGUGCUUCCGCAAC